GACGAACGCUGGCGGCAUGCCUAAUACAUGCAAGUCGAGCGAACAGAUGAAGUGCUUGCACUUCUGACGUUAGCGGCGAACGGGUGAGUUACACGUAAGGAAUCUACCUAUAAGCGGGGGAUAACAUUCGGAAACGGGUGCUAAUACCGCAUAAUAUCUUCUUCCGCAUGGAAGAAGAUUGAAAGACGGCUCUGCUGUCACUUAUAGAUGACCUUGCGGUGCAUUAGUUAGUUGGUGGGGUAAUGGCCUACCAAGACGAUGAUGCAUAGCCGACCUGAGAGGGUGAUCGGCCACAUUUGGACUGAGACACGGCCCAAACUCCUACGGGAGGAAGCAGUAGGGAAUCUUCCGCAAUGGGCGAAAGCCUGGCGGAGCAAUGCCGCGUGAGUGAAGAAGGCCUUCGGGUCGUAAAACUCUGUUAUAAGAGAAGAACAAAUUGUAGAGUAACUGCUACAGUCUUGACGGUAUCUUAUCAGAAAGCCACGGCUAACUACGUGCCAGCAGCCGCGGUAA
rnacentral:rRNA from 1 species